AACGAACGCUGGCGGCAGGCUUAACACAUGCAAGUCGAACGGGGCAGCAAUGCCUAGUGGCGGACGGGUGAGGAAUACGUAGGAAUCUGCCCUUAAGUGGGGGAUAACCAGGGGAAACCCUGACUAAUACCGCAUGAUCUCUUCGGAGCAAAGAGGGGGACCGCAAGGCCUCUCGCUUCUGGAUGAGCCUAUGUCUGAUUAGCUAGUUGGUAGGGUAAAGGCCUACCAAGGCGACGAUCAGUAACUGGUCUGAGAGGAUGAUCAGUCACACCGAAGAUGAGACACGGUCCGGACUCCUACGGGAGGCAGCAGUGGGGAAUAUUGUACAAUGUGCGCAAGGCUGAUCCAGCAAUGCCGCGUGUGUGAAGAAGGCCUUCGGGUUGUAAAGCACUUUAGCCUGGAAAGAAAAAACGUUGGUUAACACCCAAAGUCUUGACGGUACCAGGAGAAUAAGCACCGGCUAACUCUGUGCCAGACGCCGCGGUAAGAC
rnacentral:rRNA from 1 species